rnacentral:rRNA from 1 species
UACGUAGGGUGCGAGCGUUAAUCGGAAUUACUGGGCGUAAAGCGUGCGCAGGCGGCUCGCUAAGACCGAUGUGAAAUCCCCGGGCUUAACCUGGGAACUGCAUUGGUGACUGGCGAGCUAGAGUGUGGCAGAGGGGGGUAGAAUUCCACGUGUAGCAGUGAAAUGCGUAGAGAUGUGGAGGAAUACCGAUGGCGAAGGCAGCCCCCUGGGCUAACACUGACGCUCAUGCACGAAAGCGUGGGGAGCAAACAGG